rnacentral:misc_RNA from 1 species
AUUGUAUGAUCCUAAGUUAAGACAACUAGUUAUCUUUGAAGUUCGUUUUAAUGUCUUGUUAUUGUCAUUGGAGUAACGUUCAACCACAUCAAACCAAGCAUCAGGAGCACUUGAUAUAGGCCGUCCAAAACAGUCCUGAAUUCGAAGAUAGAGACGUCGAAUGUAGAAGUCUUCAAGCCCUAAACAGAUCGGCGCGUAACCCUGAAGAUUGCUGGCAUGCCACCAAUCGAAAAUUUUCCUGAAAAAAUC